AUUUGAAAUCUGGCACCUUCGGUGCCCGAGUUGUAAUUUGGAGAGGGCAACUUUGGGGCCGUUCCUUGUCUAUGUUCCUUGGAACAGGACGUCAUAGAGGGUGAGAAUCCCGUGUGGCGAGGAGUGCGGUUCUUUGUAAAGUGCUUUCGAAGAGUCGAGUUGUUUGGGAAUGCAGCUCUAAGUGGGUGGUAAAUUCCAUCUAAAGCUAAAUAUUGGCGAGAGACCGAUAGCGAACAAGUACAGUGAUGGAAAGAUGAAAAGAACUUUGAAAAGAGAGUGAAAAAGUACGUGAAAUUGUUGAAAGGGAAGGGCAUUUGAUCAGACAUGGUGUUUUGUGCCCUCUGCUCCUUGUGGGUAGGGGAAUCUCGCAUUUCACUGGGCCAGCAUCAGUUUUGGUGGCAGGAUAAAUCCAUAGGAAUGUAGCUUGCCUCGGUAAGUAUUAUAGCCUGUGGGAAUACUGCCAGCUGGGACUGAGGACUGCGACGUAAGUCAAGGAUGCUGGCAUAAUGGUUAUAUGCCGCCCGUCUUGAACCCACGGACCA
rnacentral:rRNA from 1 species